UACGUAGGGUGCGAGCGUUGCCCGGAUUUAUUGGGCGUAAAGGGCGCGUAGGCGGCCACGCACGUCCGUUGUGAAAUCGCCCGGCUCAACUGGGCGGGGUCAGCGGAUACGGUGUGGCUCGAGCAAGCUAGGGGGCAAUGGAAUUCCCGGUGUAAUGGUGGAAUGCGUAGAUAUCGGGAGGAACACCAGUGGCGAAGGCGGUUGCCUGGAGCUUUGCUGACGCUGAGGCGCGAAAGCGUGGGGAGCGAGCCGG
rnacentral:rRNA from 1 species